AACCUGGUUGAUCCUGCCAGUAGUGUAUGCUUCUCCUAAAGAUUAAGCCAUGCAUGUCUUCGAAUAAGAGGAAGCAAUUCUCUCUGAAUCUGCGAACGGCUCCGCAAACCAGUUGUAAACUAUAGCAAGCAAGCCCUUCCUGCCUUCACGGGCGGGUUGGGUAACACGGAUAACCCUGGUAAUUCUGAGGCUAAUACGAGAACGUAAUGCUUGGUCAACCGGGAAACUGGAAGGCCGAGAAACGUGCAGUUAUUUCGCGAAGCUUUACCGGGAAUGGGCGCACGUUUGGACCGCGCUAAAAACGGAUGCUCGCUGAACCCUUUCACGAGGGGGAUGCUUGUGCCCGAGCGGCUCUUGCUGUGUGCUUCUGACCUAUCAACUAGAUGGCAGCGUAACGGACAUGCUAUGGUAACAACGGGUACAGAGGAUUAGGGUUCGAUCCUGGAGAGUGGGCCUGAGAGAUUGCUCAUACUUCUAAGGAAGGCAGCAGGCGCGCAACGUUCCCCUUGGGCAAUGCUUGAGGGCGUUAGGGGACAUAUGAAUGCCUGCCCAAUGGGUGGGCAAUUCAAAUGG
rnacentral:rRNA from 1 species